rnacentral:rRNA from 1 species
AGACCCGAAACCCGGUGAUCUAGCCAUGGGCAGGUUGAAGGUUGGGUAACACUAACUGGAGGACCGAACCGACUAAUGUUGAAAAAUUAGCGGAUGACCUGUGGCUGGGGGUGAAAGGCCAAUCAAACCGGGAGAUAGCUGGUUCUCCCCGAAAGCUAUUUAGGUAGCGCCUCGUGAAUUCAUCUCCGGGGGUAGAGCACUGUUUCGGCUAGGGGGCCAUCCCGGCUUACCAACCCGAUGCAAACUGCGAAUACCGGAGAAUGUUAUCACGGGAGACACACGGCGGGUGCUAACGUCCGUCGUGAAGAGGGAAACAACCCAGACCGCCAGCUAAGGUCCCAAAGUCAUGGUUAAGUGGGAAACGAUGUGGGAAGGCCCAGACAGCCAGGAUGUUGGCUUAGAAGCAGCCAUCAUUUAAAGAAAGCGUAAUAGCUCACUGGUCGAGUCGGCCUGCGCGGAAGAUGUAACGGGGCUAAACCAUGCACCGAAGCUGCGGCAGCGACACUGUGUGUUGUUGGGUAGGGGAGCGUUCUGUAAGCCUGUGAAGGUGUGUCGUGAGGCAUGCUGGAGGUAUCAGAAGUGCGAAUGCUGACAUAAGUAACGAUAAAGCGGGUGAAAAGCCCGCU